UAAGACCGUGGUAAAUAUACG
ensembl:piRNA 21ur-2891 ncRNA